GGUCAAGUGAAUAAGUGCAUACGACGGAUGCCUUGGCAUUAGAAGGCGAUGAAGGACGUGAUAAUCUGCGAUAAGCUUCGGUUAGCUGAUAAUAAGCAUUAUUAACCGAAGAUCUCCGAAUGGGAAAACCCAGCAGUCAUCAGACUGUUAUCCUUGACUGAAUACAUAGGUCAAGGAGGCAAACCUAGGGAACUGAAACAUCUAAGUACCUAGAGGAAAAGAAAUCAACCGAGAUUCCCUUAGUAGCGGCGAGCGAACGGGGACCAGCCCUUAAGCCUAUUUUUAAUUAGCAGAAUGUUCUGGAAAGUUCAACGAUACAGGGUGAUAGUCCCGUACGCGAAAAUUAAUUUUAGGUGAAAUCGAGUAAGGCGGCGCACGUGAAACGCUGUUUGAAUAUGGGGGGACCACCCUCCAAGGCUAAAUACUCUCUAAUGACCGAUAGUGAACAAGUACCGUGAGGGAAAGGCGAAAAGAACCCCGGGAGGGGAGUGAAAUAGAACCUGAAAUCGUAUGCAUACAAGCAGUAGGAGCGGAUUUAUUCCGUGACUGCGUACCUUUUGUAUAAUGGGUCAGCGACUUACUUCUCAGUAGCAAGGUUAACCAUUAGGGGAGCCGUAGGGAAACCGAGUCUUAAAUGGGCGUUUAGUUGCUGGGAGUAGACCCGAAACCGGGUGAUCUAUCCAUGGUCAGGGUGAAGGUUAGGUAAAACUAACUGGAGGCCCGAACCCACCUAUGUUGAAAAAUGGGGGGAUGAACUGUGGAUAGGGGUGAAAGGCCAAACAAACCCGGAGAUAGCUGGUUCUCUCCGAAAUCUAUUUAGGUAGAGCGUCAUGUAUUACUUCAGGGGGUAGAGCACUGUUAUGGCUAGCGGGUCGUCAAGACUUAGUAAACCAUUGCAAACUCCGAAUACCUGAAAGUAUGAGCAUGGCAGACACACUGCGGGUGCUAACGUCCGUAGUGGAAAGGGAAACAACCCAGACCGUCAGCUAAGGUCCCAAAAUUGUAGUUAAGUGGGAAACGAUGUGAAAAGGCCCAGACAGCCAGGAGGUUGGCUUAGAAGCAGCCAUUCCUUUAAAGAGUGCGUAAUAGCUCACUGGUCGAGUCGGUUUGCGCGGAAGAUUUAACGGGGCUAAAACUACAUACCGAAGCUACGGGUGCAUAAGGUUGAACAAAGUUAAUUAUUUUUUUAGUAAUUAGGUUAAAAUAUAGUUUUUUGAUUUACUUUUUUAGAAUGAAUUUUUUAAAGUUAUUUGUUGAUAUUAUUACAUUUAUUUUUAUGCUGUUCGUUAUGCUAGUGUCUACUAUUAUAGGAGUAACUGUUUAUGCUCUUGUGAAUUUUUCAGUAGGUUGGAGGGCAGCGACAGCAGUAGAUGCAACAGUAUUUAUAAUAAUAACAGGUGUAAUAGUAUUUAUAAUAAUAAUAAAAUCAUUUGGAAUGGGAAAUAUUCCAAACACGUUCAUUAAAAUCUCUAAAAAAUUAGAAAAAAAAUUAAAAAAUGGAUAUUCUAAAUUAAAAAAUAGAUAUUCUAAAAGUAAAGAUAAUUAGUUAAUUUUGUUCAAUCUUAUGCACGGUAGGAGAGCGUUCUGUAAGCCGUUGAAGGUGAACCGUGAGGUUUGCUGGAGGUAUCAGAAGUGCGAAUGCUGACAUGAGUAACGAUAAAGGGGGUGAAAAACCCCCUCGCCAGAAGUCCAAGGUUUCCUACGCAACGUUAAUCGGCGUAGGGUUAGUCGGCCCCUAAGGCGAGGCAGAAAUGCGUAGUCGAUGGGAAACAGGUUAAUAUUCCUGUACUUCAUAUAACUGCGAUGGGAAGACGGAGAAGGUUAGCUGAUCAAGGCGAUGGUUGUCCUUGUUUAAGCGUGUAGAGUAGGUUCUUAGGAAAAUCCGGGAACCUUAGAUUUAGUUCUAGAGCUCAAGGCGUGAUGACGAUCCCUCUUUUGGGAGAAGUCAGUGAUACCAUGCUUCCAGGAAAAUCCUCUAAGCUUCAGGUUAUAUGAAACCGUACCCCAAACCGACACAGGUGGACGAGAUGAGAAUUCUAAGGCGCUUGAGAGAACUCGGGUGAAGGAACUAGGCAAAAUGACACCGUAACUUCGGGAGAAGGUGUGCUCUUGCCGGUGAUUUUACUUGCUAAAUGAGCUGGUAAGAGUUGAAGAAACCAGGUGGCUCCGACUGUUUAUUAAAAACACAGCACUCUGCAAACACGUAAGUGGACGUAUAGGGUGUGACGCCUGCCCGGUGCUUGAAGGUUAAUUGAUGAGGUUAGGAUUUAUCCGAAGCUUUUGAUCGAAGCCCAAGUAAACGGCGGCCGUAACUAUAACGGUCCUAAGGUAGCGAAAUUCCUUGUCGGGUAAGUUCCGACCUGCACGAAUGGCGUAACGAGGGCCACACUGUCUCCACCCGAGACUCAGUGAAAUUGAAAUUGCUGUUAAGAUGCAGUAUACCCGCGGCCAGACGGAAAGACCCCGUGCACCUUUACUACAGCUUUGCAUUGAACUCUGAUCCUACCUGUGUAGGAUAGGUGGGAGGCUUUGAAGCCAAUACGCUAGUGUUGGUGGAGCCACCCUUGAAAUACCACCCUGGUAUGGUUGGGGUUCUAACCUAGGUCCAUUAUCUGGAUCGGGGACAAUGCAUGGUGGGUAGUUUGACUGGGGCGGUCUCCUCCUAAAGAGUAACGGAGGAGCGCAAAGGUACCCUCAGCACGGUCGGACAUCGUGCAAUGAGCGCAAAGGUAAAAGGGUGCUUGACUGCGAGACAGACACGUCGAGCAGGUAGGAAACUAGGUCUUAGUGAUCCGGUGGUUCUGAGUGGAAGGACCAUCGCUCAACGGAUAAAAGGUACGCCGGGGAUAACAGGCUGAUACCGCCCAAGAGUUCACAUCGACGGCGGUGUUUGGCACCUCGAUGUCGGCUCAUCACAUCCUGGGGCUGAAGCAGGUCCCAAGGGUAUGGCUGUUCGCCAUUUAAAGUGGUACGCGAGCUGGGUUUAGAACGUCGUGAGACAGUUCGGUCCCUAUCUACCGUGGGCGUUGGAGACUUGAGGGAAGCUGUUCUUAGUACGAGAGGACCGGAAUGGACACACCUCUGGUGUUUCGGUUGUGACGCCAGUCGCAUUGCCGAGUAGCUAUGUGUGGAAAGGAUAACCGCUGAAAGCAUCUAAGCGGGAAGCCCCUCCCAAGAUUAGGUCUCCCUGACAGUUUAACUGUCCUAAAGAUCCCUCGAAGACUACGAGGUUGAUAGGCACGGUGUGGAAGCGUAGUGAUACGUGAAGCUAACGUGUACUAAUUGAUCGUGAGGCUUGACCAU
rnacentral:rRNA from 1 species